AUGCUCGCUUCGGCAGCACAUAUACUAAGAUUGGAACAAUACAGAGAAGAUUAUCAUGGCCCCUGUGCAAGGAUGACAUGCAAAUUCAUGGGGCAUUUCAUAUUUUU
rnacentral:snRNA from 1 species